AGGUGACUAGUCUAAGAAAAACACUUGAUUUCGGCUCAAGAACUUGUGGUUAAAAUCCAUAAUUACCUA
rnacentral:tRNA from 1 species